GGGUCGUUAGCUCAGUUGGUAGAGCAGCGGACUCUUAAUCCGUAGGUCGAGUGUUCGAAUCACUCACGACCCA
rnacentral:tRNA from 1 species